rnacentral:rRNA from 1 species
UUCCCUUAGUAACUGCGAGUGAAGAGGGAAAAGCUCAAAUUUAAAAUCUGGCAGCGCUUCGCUGUCCGAGUUGUAACCUAGAGAAGUGUAACCUGUGCUGGACCGUGUACAAGUCUCCUGGAAUGGAGCAUCAUAGAGGGUGAGAAUCCCGUCUUUGACAUGGACUACCAGUGCAUUGUGGUUGCGCUCUCAACGAGUCGAGUUGUUUGGGAAUGCAGCUCUAAAUGGGUGGUAAAUUCCAUCUAAAGCUAAAUAUUGGCGAGAGACCGAUAGCGAACAAGUACCGUGAGGGAAAGAUGAAAAGAACUUUGGAAAGAGAGUUAAACAGUAUGUGAAAUUGUUGAAAGGGAAACGUUUGAAGUCAGUCGCGUUGGUUGGGGAUCAGCCUGACAUUGUUGGGUGUACUUCCUGAUCGACGGGCCAACAUCAGUUUUGACUGCCAGAAAAAGGCCAGAGGAAUGUGGCACCCUUGGGUGUGUUAUAGCCUUUGGUCGUAUAUGGUGGUUGGGACUGAGGAAAGCAGCGCGCCGAAAGGCCGGGUUUCGACCACGUUCACGCUGAGGAUGUUGGCAUAAUGGCUUUAAGCGACCCGUCUUGAAACACGGACCAAGGAGUCUAACAUGCAUGCGAGUGUUUGGGUGGAAAACCCUUACGCGUAAUGAAAGUGAAAGUUGAGAUCCCUGUCGCGGGGAGCAUCGACGCCCGGACCAGAACUUUUGGGACGGAUCUGCGGUAGAGCACGUAUGUUGGGACCCGAAAGAUGGUGAACUAUGCCUGAAUAGGGUGAAGCCAGAGGAAACUCUGGUGGAGGCUCGUAGCGAUUCUGACGUGCAAAUCGAUCGUCAAAUUUGGGUAUAGGGGCGAAA